CAGCUCCUCUAGCAAUUCCGAUGUGAAAAGAAGAUGGAUGGAGAAGCACUGAUUCAGCCAUGGCUGACAUGUCGGAGUUGGAAUGGACAGUGCCCGGACCUCACAGUCUCAGAGAACUGGAGAAGAGUAAAGCUGAAGAGGGCAUCAUCUGGUUACAAAUGACAAGUCCAGGGCUCCAGAAUAUUCCAACAUGCCUUACUUCUGAACCAAAACAUUGGUCCAGCUAUUAGCUUGAAGAUGACAGUCACUUCACGUAAUGGCAUCUUCUCAUGUGAAAUAGGACAUAAUGACUUUCAAAUGAAGAUCUGUGAUAAGAAACGAUCUCUAAGGUCAUCCUGGAACCAACUGACCUACUGACAGACUGUUAUAAUAGCAGUUCAG
rnacentral:lncRNA from 10 species